ACCCUGGUCCUGUGUAUGAAGACAUCCCAGCUCAAGUAACACAACAGGUUGACCUUUACGAUAGCAGAGCUGACUAUAAGGACCAGAUAAAUCCUCUCUACUCCACCGUCCAGCCACAUCAGCCUGGAGAACAGGAGCAAGACCCCUAUUCUGUUGUCAACUAAAGAUCCAACACAACCCCUGAUUAUAACGGCCAGGUGAUGGAUCCCUCAAGUCCAGACAACACAGAAAACAAAAACUUAAAGAGAGUGAUAGGGUGAUAUCAGCUAAAUUGGGCCAUCAGGUAAAAUGGGCCAUUUAAGGUCUGAGCAUCUUGGCUCUUUAACGAUGAACAGCCAAUGACUGCAAAUUAUUUAAAACUCUUGCCACAACUGCACUUUAUAUGUAACAAUUGAUUUGACUGGUCUGAGGUUGUUAAGGAGGGAGGGACAAUACUUCAUAUCAAGACUGCUGAAGAAAACUGCAUGGUUAGUUGCCUUACAUACCAAAUCUUACUUGUCAAUGAUAAGGUUGAUAAAUCAAUAAUAAAGAAACUCACUGUGUGUGCACCACUCAUGAGUGCCAAUAUGAGUUGUGCACACACACCACACAAACUUAGAAGUGAAAAGAGUAAGAAAGAAACAGAAAGAAGGGUAAGAAAGAAACAG